UAAAUUCAGAUGGUAUUGUUGCAGAUGACCCAGCGCCUUUUAUUGAUGGUGUCCGUAUCAACAGCCCACACUACUUGUGCAAGCUCGUCCUCAAUGAAAACAGUGCACAUCACUACACAUUGGUUAUUUCACAGUAUGAGAAGACAAACACCAUUUUCUACACCUUGCGUGCAUAUGCAACUUGCCCCUUCACAUUGGCCAAGAUAGGUAGCCCCUACAAACACACACAGAAGGUUUCAGAUGGUCAGUGGAAGGGUGUGACCGCAGGAGGCUGUGGUAACCAUC